ensembl:lncRNA
GUCAAAGUGCAGGAAGAAAAGCUGCUUUCUGUCUUAAGGUGCUUUGUGAAGUUCCAUAUUGCUCUGGAUUUCAGAGACAGAUGCUGCUUCAUGUACCCAGGAUCUCUUUCAAAUUCAGCUAAUUCAGAUCAGGAAGCUGACCCAACUCAUCAUUUGUUGCACAACGACUGGAGCUGGCAGGACAGGGAACUGCAGCCAGAAACCGCAAGUAAUGCUCGUUUGGCACCAAUAUGGUCUUCGGUGGACUUCAGGAUUUGAUUUUAUAAUGCACUAAUUAGCACCAAGGACAGUGGUUAAUAAAAAAGCACCUUCAGUAGUUUGAAAAACAACAUGGCGUGGUAUUCCAGGACCCAGCUGCAGAUGGUCAUGCUUAGAACCAUCUAAGCAUCCUAUGGAAAGGAUUGUUAGUUUAAACUGACCACGAGAGGUGGUUUGCCACCACUAUAGGUAGAAAAGCGAGGCAUAGAAUAACUGAAUAAAACACAAAAUAAAACUGUAAGGUAAAGUCAAUAGAGAAUUCCCAUUGUGCUUCCUUUUACCAAUUUCUCCAGUAUUUUUCAGAACAGACUAGAAAAAUAUUAAAAAAAAAAAAGUUUAAUGACAAUUUACAAAUAUACAAUACUUACAUUUUCAAAAGUUACAAAAAUGGUACUUUAACAGAAACCAAAAGCUUCAUCUGACCUUUGGUACAUUUCAAAAUUAGUUAUUUACAAAGAAAAAAAUCACAGUCACUUUUCAUAGUGUCAAUGUUUACAUGUAAGCAUCCCUCAGUUAAAAAACAUCUCACAGCUUACCCACAGGCACUUUUUGCAGUUUGAGCUCUGCACCCAUCCAUCACAUUGAGAAUUCUAUCAGCCCCCGUUAAGCUGACAUGACAUUGCAUUAUUAUGUUUUAACAGACUUUAGUUUGAAGAAUAUGUAUAACCAUCACGCUAAACUGAUUCACAGUUGGUGACAUUUCACCUGGUGCAUUUUGUAUUGCUUAUGGCUUGGUACAAUGACACAGGCUUCCUUUUCUAAUUAGCUUGUAAUACACGUUAAGAAAAAAAAAAAUGGACUAAUUUUAUUAGGUAGUAUAAUUCCAUCUCUUCAUAGAGGAAAUUAAAAACAAAAGUGUUCUUCCCAUGCUGUUAUUUCACCUCAUGAAAUUUGUAUAUUAAACCCUUUCUUCACCAUGCACAAUUUUUGCCUAAAGGUAACAGACAAACAGAUGAAGGCUUCCAAAACCUAUUCAUUUCUAUUACUUUUCCCAUUAGUGGACGUUUUCUAGUUUGAACUUAUUUUAACUCAAACUUUAGAAAUUUCCCUUGAGAGCAAACACAAGUAUUGUUUUGUCUGUGUGUGCUUGAGUGUCUUCCUUUAGUUUAAAAUAUUUCCAAUAAAAGAAAUACAGCCAAAAUACAUACAGCCCAUUUUUGAAGCCUCUAACUUAUUAGCGUACACAAUUUUUUCACGUGGUCAUGAUUUUUAGAGCAUGUAACUUCAAUGCGUAACAGAAUGGGAACUCAAAAAGCCUUGAAAUUCAUUGUUUUGAGGACAGUUUGGGACUACACGUUUCCCACAGGUAUGUUUUAGUUAAGACUAAAUACCACCAGAAUAUUAGUUACGGUUCAGGAUCAGGAUCUUUUUUUAAACCAAGAAAUAAGAAAAGCUUGCUGUCAGCAACUGUGGGUGCAGCUUAAAAUGUCUUCCAUCGUUACAACAUUGCCCUCCCAAGAACUUAGAAACUC